AUGUUGGGAUGUACUGUUUUAUUAACAGCGUCACAAAACCAGCAGUCGCUGAAUGCACGCUGUAGCUGAAGGCCGUCUCACCGUGGACAGGUGCGCUGCCUCUCUGCGCAUGCGCAGUCCUCCCGGCUCGGCAAGUUAGUGUUAAAAUGGCGGCGGCCGCAGCGGAGCAGGUAACGCAACCUGUGUAAUCUCAACUGCCGCUCGGCGUCACUUCAACUCGGGCGGUGCUGCUGGAGGAAAAGUGGACGAGUGUGGAUUUAUUUCUCGGAGCCUGUCAGUAAAAAUUUUCACGCUGCUGAAAACGGCUCUGUCGUCGGUUCACACACUCCCGAUCUCCUUCGCGGUGUGUGUUUGAGCUCCACGCCGCUGUACUGCCGCUCGGCCUCAGCCACUGCCUCUCUGCACAGCGCCUCCUGUGGUGAGGAGGAGGAGCAGCACAGCGUGGAGUCGCAGGACUCGGGCAUCCCGACUCUGGAGCUCAGCUCACCCGAGGGGACGGAAGAGUCGCACAGCACAGACAGACACCGAGACGCUCCGGCCACGCUGAAGCUAGAGACGACGGGUGAGGGCGGGGCUUCAAGUCAGGUCAGGGGCGGGGCUUUAAGCUACCGAGACUCCACCUCUGUGUGCAGCACCUCCAGUCUGAGCACGGACUUCUCGGCCACGCUGUCGAUCGGCAACGACGAUGGCGCCGGCGACUUCGUGGUGACGUCGGACUCGAGCGCCGUCGUCGAUUUUCACGACUGUAGCGACUUCUCCCGGUUUCCCCAAGCCCCGCCCAUAAAUAGUGCACACGGACACCGUCACAACGAGGUAGCGACGAAGAAAGAGAGUCCAAUUGUGAGCUUCUUCAACAGGAGUCUGUUCUCUAAGAAGGGGAGGGACGCUGGAGGUCCGAGCGCUCAUUCCGAGCCGAACCGGAGGCUGUUUGGCAGAGAUUCACCCAGACCGACCCAAAGAGUUCUGAAGGUAGGACUCGCAUUAAUGGAAAACGUCCAUCGUGGAUCCCAGUGAAGAGUAAGGAUGAUAUC
ensembl:lncRNA